rnacentral:rRNA from 1 species
UCCAUCUCACCCCUUUGUGCAUCACCGCGUGGGUCCCCCCCUUUGCGGGGGAGGGCUCGCGUUUUCACACAAAACUUGAUACAGUCUAGAAUGGUUAUUUUUGCGGUAACACGCAAUCAAUACAACUUUCAACAACGGAUCUCUUGGCUCUCGCAUCGAUGAAGAACGCAGCGAAAUGCGAUACGUAAUGUGAAUUGCAGAAUUCAGUGAAUCAUCGAAUCUUUGAACGCACCUUGCGCCCCUUGGCAUUCCGAGGGGCACACCCGUUUGAGUGUCGUGAAAUUCUCAAAAUCCUUUUCUUUGAUCGGAAUAGGACUUUUGGACUUGGAGGUUCAAUGCUUGCUUUCGCCUUUGAAAGCGAGCUCCUCUCAAAUGAAUCAGUGGGGUCCGCUUUGCUGGUCCUUGACGUGAUAAGAUGCUUCUACGUUUUGGAUUUGGCAUUGUUUUCUCCGCUCCUAACUGUCCCAUGGGACAACGAUGGUGCUUCGGUCGUCGCCAUCUAUGGCGGGAGGCUGAACCCACAAAGA